GAGAAGAGAAAAAAAAGGAAGGAAGAAGACAAAAGGAAAGAGAGUGACCUGAUUUUUUUGUUUUUCUUUUCUUUUCGUUUGAUUUUAUUUUUCAAAAGUUCUUUCCUUUUUGAAAUAACAUGGAGGAAUUAAAUUUGGCUGUGGAGACCCAUUCUUUUGAAAAAUUUAAAAGCUU
rnacentral:RNase_P_RNA from 13 species